rnacentral:rRNA from 1 species
UCUGGUUGAUCCUGCCGGAGGCUACCGCUAUUGGAGUUCGAUUAAGCCAUGCGAGUCGAGAGUCUUAGGGACUCGGCGUACCGCUCAGUAACACGUGGGUAACCUGCCCUAUGCUGGGGAAUAACCUCGGGAAACUGAGAAUAAUGCCCCAUAGUCCACAAUGCCUGGAACGGUUUGUGGAUUAAAGCCCCGGCGGCAUAGGAUGGGCCUGCGGCGUAUCAGGUUGUAGGGGGUGUAACGUACCCUCUAGCCAUCAACGCGUACGGGUGUUGGGAGACAUAGCCCGGAGAUGGAUUCUGAGACACGAAUCCAGACCCUACGGGGUGCAGCAGGCGCGAAAACUUGGCAAUGCGAGAAAUCGUGACCAGGGAACUCCAAGUGGCUGGGGUAAGACCCAGUCUUUUCUUGACUCUUCAAAGGUCUUGGAAUAAGAGGUGGGUAAGGACGGUGCCAGCCGCCGCGGUAAUACCGGCGCCUCAAGUGGUAGUCGAUUUUAUUGGGCCUAAAACGUCCGUAGCCUGUUUGGUACAUUCGUGGGUAAAUCAACCAGCUCAACUGGUUGAAUUCUGCGAGCACGGCCAGACUUGGGACCGGGAGAGGUGUGGGGUACGCUCAGGGUAGGGGUAAAAUCCUGUCAUCCUGAGCGGACCACCUGUUGCGAAGGCGCCACACUAGAACGGAUCCGACGGUCAGGGACGAAGCCUAGGGGCACGAACCGGAUUAGAUACCCGGGUAGUCCUAGGUGUAAACGCUGUGGACUU